AAACCAGCACCUCAAGUGGUCAGGAUGAUUAUCGGGCCUAAAGCAUCCGUAGCCGGCUCUGUAAGUUUUCGGUUAAAUCUGUACGCUUAACGUACAGGCUGCUGGGAAUACUGCAGAGCUAGGGAGUGGGAGAGGUAGACGGUACUCGGGAGGAAGUGGUAAAAUGCUUUGAUCUCUCGAUGACCACCUGUGGCGAAGGCGGUCUACCAGAACACGUCCGACGGUGAGGGAUGAAAGCUGGGGGAGCAAACCGGAUUAGAAACCCGAGUAGUCC
rnacentral:rRNA from 1 species